CCUACGGGAGGCAGCAGUGAGGAAUAUUGGACAAUGGGCGCAAGCCUGAUCCAGCCAUGCCGCGUGCAGGAAGAAGCAUCUAUGGUGUGUAAACUGCUUUUGUACAGGAAGAAACACUCCCUCGUGAGGGAGCUUGACGGUACUGUAAGAAUAAGGACCGGCUAACUCCGUGCCAGCAGCCGCGGUAAUACGGAGGGUCCGAGCGUUAUCCGGAAUCAUUGGGUUUAAAGGGUCCGUAGGCGGUUUAAUAAGUCAGUGGUGAAAUCUGGUCGCUCAACGAUCAAACGGCCAUUGAUACUGUUAGACUUGAAUUAUAAGGAAGUAACUAGAAUAUGUAGUGUAGCGGUGAAAUGCUUAGAUAUUACAUGGAAUACCAAUUGCGAAGGCAGGUUACUACUUAUGGAUUGACGCUGAUGGACGAAAGCGUGGGGAGCGAACAGGAUUAGAUACCCUGGUAGUCCACGCCGUAAACGAUGGAUACUAGCUGUUCGGAGCAAUCUGAGUGGCUAAGCGAAAGUGAUAAGUAUCCACCUGGGGAGUACGGUUCGCAAGAAUUGAAACUUCAAAUGAAUUGACGGNGNGAGACGUUGNGAGACGACGACGAGGGAGGAGG
rnacentral:rRNA from 1 species